CAAAGGGCUUGCACCAGCUCCUGGGCAGGACUGCCCAGUGCUUCCUUUCCCUGCCUCCAUUCCGCCCCUCAAUGCAGUCUUCAUUUUUGUCUGGUGAGGAUGGAGCACCACCACACUGAGGUCUGCGUUGCCCUGACGACCAGUUGAGCUGAACGAGGAACAAUGAGCCACAGAGGAAAGCUCCUAUGGUGAUACUUUUUUCCAGACCACAUUUCCCUCGGCUGUUUAAAGAAGAAAUCAACAGCACACGCAGCUGCUUGCACUUCGGUAAGGAGCCAACUGCCAUUCCACUCAAGAUCUCUUAAUUCAAGUAUCCCUGGUUCUAAGAGGAUUGUCUGAGGCCCAAGGAAGAAACCCGGAUGCCUGCUUCCUGAUGUCAAUGGUCCUGCCUCAGGUUCCAGCCCUCUUUGAGUUCCUGUCCUGACUUGCUCCAAUGAUGGAUUGUGAUCUGGAAGUGUAGCCUAAUAAACCUUUCCUCCCUAA
rnacentral:lncRNA from 1 species